rnacentral:tRNA from 1 species
GUCGUUGUAGUAUAAUGGUGAGUAUUCCCGUCUGUUACGUGGGUGACCCGAUUUCGAUCCUCAUCAACGCG